AAAAUAAAACUUUCAGGUUGCCCUACUUGUUUGCCUAUAAAGGCAUUGCAUUCUUGCCUUGCAGGGGGGGAGAGAGAUGAAAAAGAGCUGAAAAAUCCUAAAAAACUCUAGAUGGCUAGAACAUCAAAAACACUGGUUCAUUGAGUCUUAUUCUUGAUUUUCUGAAGUUUUCUCCUACUGCUAAAAUAAUUUUGGGUAGCUGGUAGCUAAAAUAAAUUGAAAUCAAGUCUAGUUUGAAGUCUUCUGGUUUGUUGAUGGGUUUUGAAGUUAUUUAGGCUGUUUGCAUCAUUAUCUGGGUUAAAACUAGAUGCAUUUCUGCUGCUGCCGUUUCUUUGCUCUCACUGCCUUUUUUUUGUUUUAUGCUCAAAUUCCAGGUAUUUUUUUCCUGAACUCUAGAGAUGUAAUCUGCAGUUUUUAAGAAUAAAUAACAGCUGAAAGCAUGACUUAGACUCCUCUGUCUUAUCUAUAGUCUUCAUGAUGCAUAUGCUAUUUAUUCACAUGGAUCAUCGCAUACUUAGCUAGGCUCUUAUGUUCUGUAUUUGCUUGAGGAUUAUGAUUUUAUUGUAUUUAAGGCUUAGUCAAGUUUAAUGUAUUUAAAUGUGUUGGGUCAAAUAGCAUACGUAAUCAUUCUUGGGAAUGAAUUCAUAACUGGAUUGAUGUUGGGGAGGCUGAGGCUUAAAUGUUGAUAUGGGGGUGUGUGUGUGUCAAUCGAACUUUGUGAUUUGUUUAGAUAUACUGGCUUGGUAGUGCAUGAAUCAGGAAGUCAAUAUCUGUGUUUAAAUUAGGUUGAAAUUCUCCUUAGUAUGUGAUGAAUGAAUCACGAUUCUCUAGUUAAAGUUUUCUCUAUGAUUUUUUUUAGUUUUCUGUAGCUCAAGUGGACAUCACUAUGUGUUAUUUAAAAUGAACUUGAUUAUGUUUGGUUAAUUUGUGCCAAACAGUUUAAAUCAGCAAUUCAAAUCUUUUAAUCUCAUGUUCAUGUGUUGGUAUCAAUUUAUAUUUGUGUUGUUAUAUCCUGAUCUGAACCAUUUGGACCAUAAGAAUUGGGCCCAACAUCGGCCCAGUUGCAUAACAAAUGGGUCAGGCUAUCAUUUAUACCUAUCUUGGUUCACUGAAUGUUUGUACUGUUGAAUUUUGAUAGUUCUGGCCUAUAGAGACUUGAUAUGGAGUCCCUCGUUUAAGCUUCAUGAAGCUUCAAAUUUGGGCCCAUUGCUGGGCCCAAGCUUGACAUUCUCCCUCGAGAGUAAUCGGGCGUUGCUUUUCUAUUGGACUUCAUGUUAACCAAUGUCAUUUUACCAUUUACUGAUUUGUAGAGGUUAAAAUAUUUGGUUUAUUUAGACGGAAUUCCAAUCACUGUAAGUAUUUUGUUAAUUAAAUAAGUCCUUUUAAAUAAGUGUGGAGGUGUUCCAAAUAGAUAAUAAUAGUUGAUGGCCCUCCCGAAUUUUAGUUUGAAUAUACUCUAAAAAUAGAAUUGAGGUGCGCCGCACCAAAUCAAAUCAUAAAUAUGUGGCCCUCGUUUAAUUAUUUCCUUUUAAAAUACUUAAAAUUUGGGGCGUUCCAUUUAGCGAUUUUCAUGGCCCUUGCAAAGUUAAUAACGAGUUAGUUUCUUUAGGAACGUAUUUUAAUACUCCUACCUUCCUAAACGCAGGUGUUCAUUUCAUGUGAUCCAACUUCAAAUCCUAAAAUGUUGAAUAAAAUAUGUUUCUGAUUGCGGGUGCAUUUCAUGUGACGCAAUCCAAAGACGCAUUUUAGAUGACUUUGAAAUCUUCUUUAAAAUAAUUAAAAGCGGUUCAAUAAGUUAAAAUAUACCAUAGGCUAAAACAUGUAUUAAAAUCAGAUAAUAAGCUAAUUUAUGAUAGUUUAAGUGGCCGAGCUAGAACCACAGAAUAUGGGGGUGCCUAACACCUUCCAUUGGGUUAACAAAAUUCCUUAUUCAGAAUUUCUGGUUCGCAGACUUCAAAUGGAAAGUCAAAUUUUCCUCGAUUUGGGAUUUAAAACAAACCAGUGACUUCGGACAGCAGAAAACGAACCAUCCUAAGUGGCGACUUUAAACAGAAAGAAUAAAUGAUCUCAUUUCGAAUAAUGUCAUUUAAAUUGGAAAAACUCCAUUAUAUAUACCUUCGGGUGUGUAAGAAGGAGGUGUGACAGAGUUGUCUCCAUUAACAAGUCAAAUGGAAGAUCCCCAACUACUGCUAUCUUGGUCACCUCCCAUCUCAACUUGUCAACUGACUUCAUCGAAGCCUGAGAUUUCUUCACCUUCUUGACCUGCUUCCUAAGCUCCUCAAUUGUGGUUCCAUGUUCCAUCAAGAUAUCCAUGAUGGUCUUCUGGUUCUCCAGAAUCUUCUUCAACGUAUCCUCCACUAUCAGAGCAAUCUAGGGGGCUGGGGUAGUGUCUGGCUGAAAUAGCACUGGAUAGGUCAGACAUAUUUGCAGUAGUUGUCUGUAUCUAGUUGUUGAGACUCGCAAGUGUCUGGGAGACUCACAGCGCCAAAAGUGGAUAAGUAGAAGAUGAAGGAACUGAUGCUGAUGGCCUUGAAGAUGGAGGUGGAGAUAUGGAAGCUGUACUGCAAGAAGGACCCGCUAUAAUGGUAGGCAUGUCAGUUGAAGUUGUAACUAAAACCGAAGGCUUGUCUGACUAGCCCACGGUAGUAGUUGGCUGACCUUUGUUCUUGAGGUUCCUCGGGUCCUUCAAUAAGUACCAUGUAAAGGGCUUAUUCGCCCGAACCUUUGUAUCAAAACCCUUUGACUCUACUCCUUCAUCCAUAUGAUACUACCUGAUAGUGUUUGGAUACGGGUAGGAGGUCUCACCUUGCCUACCGCCCAGAGAUAUAUUGGCCGACAUGAUGGCACCCACAUUGAUUGGGUACCCGACCAUAAUGGAGGAAACUAGGACUGCCCGUGGAACUGGGAGAUUGUUUUCAUUUUUCCCUGGAUAUAUUCAGUUGUACACAAAUAUUGCCAACCUUUAGCUUUAAUGUUGAGGGUAUUUCGCUGAAUGGGAACCUCUUCAGUGAUCCAUGGUGCUGGUGGACCUGGAGAUGCCAAGGGCGAGCCGCAUCACUAAUAAGUAGUGAUUUUAACCUAUUAUUUGCUCUUUUUUUGUGUUUUGGGCCAAAAUGCGUGGUGAUAUUUCCAAAAUUUAAUGUAAUAUGCUUGCUUGUAGUAAUUUUUCAAAAUAAUCCGAAAGGGUCAAAUCAACUCAUAAAGGAGUCAAAACUUGAACAAAAGCCAAGCCUGGGCCAAGAGAUCUGAAAUGCGGACCGCACAAAUAUUGUGCGGCCGCAAAAGCAACAACACAGCUGCAAUCAGAAUUACACAGUCCGUGAAAGGGAGAUUCAGAGAGUUGCAUUUUUAGAAUAAAUGAAAAGUCCAUUCCGCAUCAAAAUUACACGUCCGCAAAAGUCUGUCACGCGGCUGCGAAUUAAAUUAUUCGUUCUGCGAAACUAAGCUCAACCCAUAUACAGAUUUGAAUACUUUGGACCACGAUUAGAAUUACGUGUCCUUGAAAGAAAGAAUGCAGUCGCACUAAUAAUUACACAGCCGGCACACCUCCGCAGUGGUGUUUUUGUCCGAAAAUUUCAGAUUAGUAUAAACAGAAACUUUUGUCAUUUGUAGGUUAUAUUAUGUAUUGGAGGAGCACCUGAGAUGGCUGAGUUUAUUGCUUUUGGAAAUUUUGUACUAGAUUCAUCUUUUAACAUUAGAUUUUCAUACUUUAAUCUAUUAUUAUGAGCUUCAUCUUCAUUUAAUCCUUAAUUUCUAUUAUUUCUAUUUCUAGCUAAACCCAUAGCUAGGGUUGUGACCUAACCCUAGUGUAGGUAUUUGAUAGUUAUUUAAUUUUAGGGCCUGAAUGUAAAUGCGUUAUUGAUAUUCAGCCCAGUUUUUGCUAGAUCUAUAGAAUUAACGGUUGCAAAUAUAGAUUCAUACUUUUAUGACUUAGUCUCUACUUGAGAAAGAUGGACUAUGUCUAGGAAAACUAGGCUAAAAAGGACUUGGACUGAACUUAAGAAAUUAAUAGCCCCAAUUAGAAGGUUAAACUUAGAGAUAGCAAUUCCCGAUAUGAGCUAAUAUCACUUGAAUUUCAUGAAUACCCAUUUGGACUUGAGAAAGCCAAAUUGAGCAAAAUCGCUCAAACUACUAAGAGGUAUAGAGUGAGUACUCGGGUGCGAUAGUUAUAUUAUGAUCCAAACUAAUCACGAGCUUUCCCUAGAUUUUAAUAUCCGUUAGAUAUCCACUUAGGUCAAAGUCACGACCAUAUUCUCCUUAAACAUAUGAAAAUCAACAAAUACAAUAUUGUCCUUAGUUUCAAUUAUUGCAUUCUUUAGAGUAAAAGUUAGAAGUAGAAAUAAAAUGCAAAACUUGUGGAAGAGUAAUUAGAUUCAAGGCCUGCAUUUAGCUCAUAUAUAAACCUAUCUCCAAUUAUUAACUCUCUGUGGAUUCGUUCCAACCUGAUUAGGUCAGGAAACUUGCAAAUAACCAAGUCAUGCUUACACUGUUAGAAUAGAGUGGUUUCUUAAUCGGAGCUCCACACCAAAAUGCCUAUAACAUCUCAGAGGUUUUGUUGACACGUGCUGGGGGAGAAAGCAAACUAAUGUCUCCAAGGACGCAUUGAGGUUAAGGCUUUACCCAUUUUCUCUAAGGGGGAGGCUUUGGAUUGGCUAGAAAGGUUACCCAACCAUUCCAUCACCAUUUUAGAUGAGUUGGACAAAACGUUCAUCGCAAAGUUCCUUUUUUCGAGACAUAUGGAAAUGCUAAGAGAUGAGAUCCUUUCACUUAAAUAAGAGCUAAAUGAAUUGCUAUAUGAGAUUUGGGAAAGGUAUCGGACGAUGGUUAAAGAAUAUCUAAAAAAUGAUAUGACCGAAGCCAUGAUCCAACAAAAUUUCUACCGUAGCAUUAACACAACAAACCAAUGUGUGGUUAACCAACUCGCCAGGGGGAAAUUUAUGAAUACUCCAUAUGCCGAAGCAUGUAAAUACUUGAUGAGAUGGGGGAUAAAUCCUCGGCGUGGAAAAGUAGAGCUAAUGUGCCACAAGGUGACCUUAAUAUUAUUCACCUACACAAGGAGCUACCUGACCACGACCAAGCUAUAGACGAGUUGACAACUACCAUGAACCAAUUGGCCAAAGCUUAGCUUCAAAAAGUUCAGUGGCCAAAACAAGUGAAUUCCAUGGAAGGAGUGAAUAUGAUGAUCAACAAGAGAAGGCAAUGAGGUCAACAAGUUCAAAACAAUCUGGAUCAAUUUGAGCAAAGUGGUAGUGGGUACAAUCAAGAUGAUUCAUAUGAUGAGCAAAGUGAAGAGGUUCAAUAUGUCAACAAUUAUCAAGGUCAACGGGUCAAUGCUCUGAAUCAACAAUAGUGGAGAUUAUAGGAAAAUCAAGGAAAUUGGGGUAAUCAAGGUCAACAGGGAAAUUUUAAUAGUGGAAAUAACAACAACCAAGGCAAUUUGGGGAACAACAACAAUCAAAAUAGGGCUAAUCAAGGAAUUCAAGGCAAUUGGGGUGGCAAUAAUAAUAAUAAUAUUAUGGAAGUAAUAACAAUCAAGGGGGUUGGAACAACAAUAAUCAAGGGAAUCAGGGGUCGGGAUUUCAAAGGCCCCCGAUGUAUCAACAAUCGAACAACCUGCCUCCAUAUUCGCCACAAGGUCCUAGUUUUUCCAACAAUGUGAUGGACGGAUUAAACCAUGUUCGAGCAAAUGAUGAAGAAAAAUGCCGAUUUCGAUGCUCAAUUAGCCUGCCAAAACACUUUUAUAUGCAACAUGGAAGUCUUACUUGGCCAAAUUUCUCAAGCUUAGAAUACUCUCCCUAAGGGGGAACUACCAAGUGAUACAGUAGUGAACCCGAAGGGUAAGAACAAUACGGACCAUGCUAUGGCGGUGACUACAAGAAAUGGUAGAGGUGGAGUUGCUAGUACCUCUAAUCCAAGAAAGGUUUUGAGUGAUGAUGUGUUGGUGCAUGAUGAAGAUGAUAUUAGAAAUGAUGUGCAAGUAAAUAAUGAGAAUGUGAAUAAUGAAGUGAGGAUAUAAAAUUAUGACAACGUGGAGGAGGCACAAAAUGAUGUGAACCCGUCUAGGGAACAUGUGAUAGACAUAUGUAAACAGUAGUGCCUAAAGCCGAAGACCAUUUUCUAAGGCCUCCUCCAUCAUAUCCUCAAAGGCUUACAAAGCAAAUCAAUGAGAACCAAUUCAAGAAAAUAAUUGAUAUGAUGAAAAGUUUGUCCAUAAAUAUGCCUUUGGUUGAAGCCCUAGAACAAAUGCCGAGAUAUGCCAAGUUCAUGAAGGACCCGGUUACAAAGAAGAGAUCAAUGAACUGUGAAAUGAUCUAAAUGACACAUCAAGUGAGUUCCAUUGUACACUCCAUGGCUCCAAAGUUAGAAGACCUCGGUGCCUUUGUAAUCCCAUGCACUAUAGGUAGUGCUGAUUAUGCCAAAGCUUUGUGUGACUUGGGGGCAAGCAUUAACUUGAUGCCAUAUUUUGUGUUCAAGAUAUUGGGGAUUGGUAAAAAAAAGACCAACAUCCAUGAGGAUACAAAUGGCGGACCAGAUAAUGAAGAGGCCAUUGGGGAUAAUCGAUGAUGUGCUAGUUGGCGUCAACAAGUUCAUACUUCUUGCAGAUUUUAUGAUACUUGACUGUAAGGUUGACUAUGAGGUACCAAUAAUAUUUUUGAGAUCUUUCCUAGCUACAGGAAAAGCCUUAGUUGAUGUGGAUGUUCGGAAGCUCACUUUCCAGGUGGGUGAUAAGAAAGUUAUGUUCCAUGUUUGCAAGUCAAUGAGGUAGGCUAAUAUCAACGAAGUGCAUCCGUUUGUGGAUCUUGUGACCGAAGUGACUGUUGAUAACAUAACUGUUGUGAUUUAUGUUGAAAACCAUUGGAAGCUGUGUUAUUGAAUCAUGAUAUGGAUGAGAAGGAAGGCUUGGUGGAAUAUAUUAAUUCUUUUCGACGAAUGGGUUUAUAUACAUAUGAGCCCCGAAAACUUUCUUUAGACCUCGAGAAUCGGAAGAAUCUACCAAUAAAGCCCUCAAUCGAGGAAUCUCCCAAAUUGGAGUUGAAGCCCUCGACUUCAUACAUCAGGUAUGAGUUCUUAGGCUCUUGUUCCACUUUACCAAUUAUUCUUUCCUCAUGCUUAACUAAGUGCAGGUAGAUGCCACCAUUGCGGUUCUCCAAAGGAGGAAGAAGGCAAUAGGUCGGACAUUGGCGGAUAUUCAAAGUUUAAGCCCCCCCGCCUUUUGCAUGCACAAAAUCAUAUAGGAGAAGGAUGCCAAACCCUUUGUAGAACAUCAAAGACGGUUGAAUGAGGCCAUGUAAGAGGUUGUAAAGAAAGAUAUCAUCAAAUGGUUGGAUGUUGGGGUUGUCUACCCCAUUUCUGAUAGUUCAUGGACUUUACUAGUACAAUGUGUCCCAAAGAAUGGGAGCAUGACCGUGAUUAAAAAUGACAACAAUGAGUUGAUCCCCACAAUAACUAUCACUGGUUGGAGAGUGUGCAUGGAUUAUAGGAAGCAUAAUGAUGUUACUUGGAAAGGCCGUUUUCUGCUUCCAUUUCUUGAUAAGAUGGUUGAUAGGUUAGCCGUACGUGCUUAUUAUUUCUUUUUGGAUAGGUACUAUGGAUAUAGACAAAUUCUUAUUGCACUUUAAGACCAAGAGAAAACCACCUUCACUUGUCCGUAUGGCACAUUUGCUUUUCCAAGGAUGUCAUUUGGUUUAUGUAAUGCACUGGCCACAUUUCAGUGGUGUAUGAUGGAAAUAUUAACGAAUAUGGUGGAGGACUUCCUCGAGGUUUUCAUAAAUGAUUUCUCUAUUGUGGGAGAUUCUUUUGAAGAGUGUUUGGAUAAUCAUGAUAAGGUAUUGGCACGAUGUGAAGAGACCAGCUUGGUGUUGGGAGAAGUGCCACUUUAUGGUCGAGGAGGGCAUAGUCCUCGGCCACAAGAUCUCAAAGAAUGGUGUUGAAGUGGAUAAAGUAAAAACUGAAAUGAUAUUAAGACUUCCUCUUCACUUCCAUCAAGGAGUGAGGAGCUUUCUAGGUCAUGCGGUGUUUUACCGUCGGUUCAUCAAGGAUUUCAUAAAGGUAGUGAACCCCUUGUGCAAGUAGUUGGAAAAAGAAGCUAAAUUUAUGUUCAAUGAUGAUUGUAUGAAGGCCUUUGAGCUACUCAACUAUUGGUUGACUACCAUUCCAUCAUUACCGCACCAAAUUAGAUCUUACCAUUUUAGCUGAUGGGUGAUGCUAGCGACAUGGAGGGUUCAAAGAGGCUAAUUUGAGCACAAGUUUUACCACUGACCGCGAGAGUCCGAAACUGAAAUGAAGUCUUUUUUGGCACAAACUACAUUUAUACAGUUUAAAAAAAGUUACAUUUCUAACUAAAAUUCAGUAUAAUACUAUGUUAUACUUUAACCCAAAGUUAACCGUUAAAGUUAAUCGCAGUAUUAUACUGCGUUACAUUAAAAAAUUAGUUUUCAUAGGAAAAUGCAUUAUAUUGCUGCUUUUAAGGAAAAUACAGUAUUUUACUGGAUUUCCCUAUAAAAUUUGGGCCCACCAUAAUAACAGUUCUGCAUGACUGCAGAGAAUAUUUGUUUUUUUAGUGUAAAACAUAUUAUAAUACUACGUUUUACACUGAAACGUAUUAUUAUACUGCGUCUUACACUAAUUAUUUGGCCCACAAAUAAGUGUUCUACGGAUAGCUAAAAUAGCACUAAUUCAAAUACAUAAAACGUGGUAUUAUAAUGUGUUUUGCAUAAAAAAAUCUGCACCUCAAGCUCGGACUUGCCUUAUUUAAAGGCGCUUGAAUUUUAUGAAAAUCCAUUCAAAAAUUUCCAUUAAACUUCCGUUCAUACUUCUCUCUUUUGCUUAUCAAUCAUUUUUUAUAAUAUUUGAAGAGCCAAAAAUAAGGGUUUCAUUAUAUUGAGGGGGGGAGGGUGAGGUUGUGCUGGAGAAUAAGUCUAUGAGGUAUAGUUCAUCUCUAUAGUGUCAUGUUAAAUUAAUGCUUAUAAUGGAGUUUAAUAAAUUAGGAUCGUUGUUACAUAAAAAAUGAGUGUGAUAAAACAUUUGGUAACCUUAAAGUAACCGGUAGAUUUAUGUAUUUAGUGACUCCGCAAGGGUUUGUUUAUUAUUCUUAGUUUAACAUCAUAUGAUGAAACUCUUAGAGAUUUUUUGCGGAUUCUGGAUGAAUACAUGGAAUUUAUUGUAAUAAAAUUGUUGGAAAUAUAUGUCAAGGUUGAAGACGUUGCCAACAAUGAGGGCGUGCAUAGUAGGGAUAACCUCUAGUCAUCGAGUGGUUAUUCUAGAGAAGUUUUAUCGGACAGAUUGCUGAUGAAAGAGCUUGCCUUCAUUUAAACUUGUCACCACCUGCGAAUGAGUAGCCACAAAAUAUUUUUUUGAUUAUAUAUAAUCCACAAGACGAAUGGUAAAAUUUAAUUUUCUAUUCUUUACCGGUGUUUAUUUUAGGUUUUAAUUGGAUUUGUAUUAACACUCAUAUUUUUCAUAGGGGGUACCGUCCGGAUAUGAACUUUGCAAGUUAUAACCCUGCCCCUAGUUGGAAUAUGCGUAGUUUUGGCGUAUUGGACCACAGUAGUCCAUCCGGGAGUCAUAAAGAACAAGGAUAUAUCCAUCAUGAAAGGUCAAGAUAGUACGACUUAUAAGUAAAGUGAUAUAGAUAUAUGUAACGUAUUUAUAUAGUUGGGUAGCUUAUCAGUUUGUUCUUUUUGUGUAGUGAAAACGAGCAACUUGAUGCUCCUGACCUCACACACUUGCCUAUAGACGACGUACUAACUCAUGAUUUGGCAGAUGUGCAGAGUUAGGAAGAUGAUAGUUAUUAUGACAACAAUGCCGAUGAGUCUUGAGAUGACACACCCUUCCCUGAUGAGGGUGGUGAUGAGGAAGAAAUGAAUGUUGAACCUGAGCUGACGAGGGAGAAUGCUCCUCCAACUACCGUUAGACCAAGAGUGUAUGGGUCUCAUGUGCCCUUUCUUCAGCGGAAUAUUUCCUACCUUAAUAAUUUCCCAAGUACGCGGGACGUGGAUUUCCUUCAAGUACGCGGGACGUGGAUUUCCUUACAAGAGAGAUGAUGAAUUUCGGUCAGUGCUGAGGGAUGAGUCUACACCAAUGUGUUGGCAAAGGGCAUGUAUUUCCCUAAUAAAGCUCACCUAAUCAGGGCUGUAAAAGUCUACUGCGUAAGUGAGUGCUGUGAGAUGAUGGUAAGGGAGCCAACUAUGGAGGUAUACAGGGAUGUAUGCCGUAGAGACUUGAUGGGUUGUCACUGGAUAUUGCGUGCCAGCAAGAACAAAUCAGGUUUGUGGAAAGUGGGUAAAUUUCUUAGCAGCCACAGAUAUGAAAUGGGCACAUUAAAUGAGAAUCACUUCAACCUUGAUAUUGACUUGAUUUUUUUUGUCUUGAUUCCAUAUUUGGAAGUGUCCAUUAGGUUCAAGUUUAAAAAGUGUAUCACAUCCGUCCACCAGGAGUAUGGUUGUUCAUAACCAAAAGAAAGGCAUAUCUCGAUCGCAAAAGUGCCUUUGAAUGUAUUUAUGGCGACUGGGAUAAGUAUUUUUUAUCUCUGCCUAGGUACAUGGCCGCACUACAACACUUUAGCCCUGGGACUGUUGUUGAAUGCAUGUGUGAGUGAAGUUCGGACAGACCCGAAUAUAUUUUCAAUUAUGUGUUCUAGUAAUUUAAACUAGCAAUUGAUUAUUUUGUGCAUUGUCAUCCUGUAAUUUCCAUAGACGGUACUCAUGUCUAUGGAAAGUAUGAUAUUAAGCUUUUGAUUGCAAUUGCAGUAGAUGACAACCGAGAAAAUAUUUCCACUAGUUAUUUCCACUUAUGCCAAUGAAAGAGAAGAGACGUGGAUGCGCUUUUUGAACCACUUGAAGACGUAUGUUGUCAAAAAGUAUUCAGGUCAUUGUCUAAUAUCUGAUCGACAUGGUGGUAUUUUAAAUUCUAUACGGACUUGCCUGAAUAUCAACAACCCUAUGCAUACCACCAUUACUGUGUGAGGCAUCUGAAGGCCAAUUUCAAAAAGAAAUAUCCUGAAAAGGCCUUGCAUGACUUAAUGUGGAUGGCUGCGACUGAGCACCAACAGUGUAAAUUCAUAAGGUGCAUCAUAGUGAUUUGGCAAUUAGAUCUAUGAGCUAUACUUGGUUGAUGGGACAUAAGCUUCACAUGUAAAUAUUGCAUGUUGAUGGCGGAAAAUAUGUUAGAGUCAUUCAACGGCUUGUUGAAGUCUGCCCGUGGAUUGCCUAUCAAUUCCAUGGUCAAUGUGACAUUCAAAUAGAGUGCAGAGAGGUUAGCUGAAAGGCAUGGAGCAUUAUCGACAUUGAUGGACAAGGGUGUUCAAUUUAUGCCAAUACACAUGAGAAUAUUUGAAAGGAACAAGAGGCGAGCACAUUCAAACCGGGGUAUUUUUGAAGUUAAGACAGCUAUCCGCAUACACCAUAGGAAUAAUCUAUUAAUGGUAAAUGAAGCCAGAAGGUUUUGUUCAUGUGGGAUAUGGACCAUCUACCACAUGCCGUACGCACAUGCCUUGAAAUGCUUUCAAGAAGUUGGUUUAAAGGCAACCAACUAUAUUGAUAAGCAAUACAGUGUUGAUGUAUACGUAGACACGUAUAGUGGGAAGUUGCAGCCAUUAGGUGCUGAGCAUUAUUGGCUGCCGAAACCUUUUAAGAUGGUGUGUAACAAGGACUAAUUGCGCAAGAUUCAAGUGCAAAAUAAAAUGCAUAUACAAAACCAAAUGGAUGUUGGUGACACCGUUUAUGCAUGUAAAUGUUGCAUAUGCUCGCAAAUAAGACACGACCGUCAUAAAUGUCCUUCACGUGGUGUGCCUAGUGGUGGUAAUCCAGCUCCUGGUGCAAGUUCGUCGAAUGUACCCAACUAUAAAGGAUACCCCUAAUCUUUUAUUUUCGUAUUAUUUUUUGUAAUACGUGUCUGUACUUGUGCAUGUUGCAAUAUCUGUCAAAUAUAAUUAUGUUCCACAAUCUUGUUACAUCUUAUUUUUUAGAUCUUUUGAUAUGGUUGUUCAAAUAUUAAAUUUAUUAGUGUUAGUAAAGAAGACCAAGAUUGUGGAAUAAAAAAAUUACCUAUUAAAAAAUAAAUUGAAUAUAUAAAGUGUGGUACAAAACUACGUUUUAUCAGUUGUCUUGUCGUUUUGAAAAUAGCUGAAAUGUCUGCAAAAAACCGUUUUGUUUCAGAAAAGUUUUAAUAUGUAAAGUGUGGUUCAAUACUACGUUAUAUCAGUGGUCUUGUUGUUUUGUAAAUAGGUGAAACGACUGCGAAAAAGCUGUUUCGUUUCAGAAAACUUUUAAUAUGUAAGGAGUGGUACAAUACUACGUUUUAUGUGAAAUUGCCCAUAAAUAACAGGCGCAUUCUACUUAUUUUCUAUGCUUAACAAUAACCAAUAGCAAUAUUUCCAUAAAACCAAAGUUUCUCUUUAAGAAUUGUCUCAACAACCCUUUUAUGUCCCAAGUUGCUAUUGCGGAAAAAAAUAGAGUUUGUACAAUUGGUGGGAAGAAGGUGGACACCGCUACAGGGUAUGUAUGAACAAGUUUUAUAGGUAAUCCGACGAGCCUACAUGUGAUUUUAAGGUAAGGAUGGAUAAACCAUGUAAACAGGAGUACUACAAAGGCAGAAUUUAUGAUCUUUAUAAGUUAUGUACGAGGCAAGGGGAAAGAGAAUGCCGAUCCGACCAAGAAAUUGAGGAGUUGAAGGUGAAAAUUAAAGAGGUGGAAUAAGAAGAAAAAAAGCUGGAAGACCAACUCAAGUGGUUGGAGCGGAGAGUACAAGCUGGUGGUGACUAAACAGUGGCUUGUACGUGUUGAGUGUAGUAAAGUAUCUUUAUGCUUUCCUUGUCAAGUGUUUUCUUUAGAUGUACAAUUUGUUUUACUUAUGUAUAUCUUUAGGUUUGCUAUGUUUGUGUUUGUGUUGUCAUGUUAAAAUAAAAUUGUUAUUCAAAUUCUGUUACAAUAAAAAUAUUGUUAAAAUAGAAUUGUUGCCAUUAUAUAUAUAAUGUAGUAUUUUCUUCAUAGAAUUGUUCAAAUAUUCAACUUACUAGUGUUACAAAAGAAUACCAAUCUAUAAUUAAAAAAAAACUAUAUGCAAAGUGUGGUAUAAUACUACGUUUUGUGAAUUGUCUUGUCGUUCUAAAAAAAGUUGAAACGACUGCGAAAAAACCUGUUUUGUUGCAAAAAAAUUUAAUAUGUAAACCGCAGUUACUUUUUUGUGAGUUGUCUUGUUGUUCUGAAAAACAUGAAAACCAUGUGAAAAAGUUGUUUUGUUUUGGAAAAAUUUAAUAUGUAAAGCGUGGUAUAAUACUAUGUUUUGUGUGUAUGUAAAGCAUGGUAUAAUGCUACGUUUUAUGUGAAAUCUUGCCUAUAAAUAACAGAAGCAUUCUAGUUAUUUUCUGCGCUUAACAACAACCUCCAGCAAAUAUAUUUAUAAAAAUAAUGUUUCUCUUUAAGAAAUGUGUCAACAACCCUUCUAUAUCCCAAGGUGCGUCUACGGAAACAAAAUCAUGAUGUACGAUUAUUGGGAAGAAGCUGGAUGAUGCUACAGGACGUGUAUGAACAAGUUUUAUUGGCAAUCCAAUGUACAUACAUUCAAUUUUUAGGUAUGGAUUGCUAAACCAUGUGAGCAGAAAUACUACAAGACAAGUUGUAUCAUCUUUAUAAUGUGUGUACGAGGCAGUGAGACAGAGAGCGCCAAUCCAAGCAAGAAAUUACAGAGUUGAAGGCGAAACUCAAGUAGGUGAAAGAAGAGAAAAAAGCUAGAAAACCAACUGAAGCGAUUGGAGCAGAGAAUACUAGGGGGUCAUAACUAAACAAUGGCAUGUAUGUGUUGAGCAUAGUAGUGUAUCUUUAUGUUUCCCUUGUCAAGUGUUUUCAUUAGUUGUACUGUUUGUGUUGUGUUAGGUUUGCUAUAUUUGUGUUUGUGUUGUACUAUUAAAAUAAAAUUUUCGUUCAAUCGCAGUUAAAAAAAUUGUUAUUAAAAUAGAAUUUUUGCAAUGAUUUACAUAAUGUAGUAUUUACACAAAGUACAAACAUAAGUAAAUCAAUGAGUCCUGCAGCUUGUGUGCUUCAGUGCUAUUGCUGGCCUGAGUUGCAUUACAUGUCGCCCGAGUACACUAUCGAGAUCAUCAUUAUCAAGUUGCCUCUUUAAGUGAGGAUGCACAGCAAUAUCAACGGUACAACUUGUAGGAUCGGUAGAAGAGGCCAUCGGGCGGUCUGCAACCUACAAAACGAGUACUAAGCUUAGCAUGUAAAAAUGUAUAUUAGUAUUGUACGUGUUAAGUGAAAAAUAUUUUCUCACCAUGGUCUCGUCGUCUUCCUGAGUAUAUGCAUCUAUGGUGUCUCCAUCAGUGCAUAUAGUGGCCUCCAUGAUGUGCUGGGACGAAGCCUUACUAAGAAAAUUAAAAAUUAAUUAAUGGAAAAUCAUUAAGGAAAAGAAAACGAAUUGAAAUUUUACAGUGAUACAAACAUACCUGCGCUUGUGGUAGAUCCACAUCAACCACCGGGGAUAAGGCAUAACUUAACCUGCGCCCGCUAUUCACAUCCCGGUUCGCCGAUCCUUAGUUGCGAUUGAUGGGCCUGAAAAGAAUUGAUCCACAUACCCCUCAAAUAUACCUAUGAUUAUCAAUGUCUCUGACAGGAAGACCUGCGAUGUUGUUAGAUAUAGGUUAAAGUUGUACGACAACAUAUUGCUGGAAGGCUCAUCUAGCCGAGGGAAAUAACCCGACCGAUCAUCUCCAAGAUCCUCAUCAUUUGUCUCAACAGGUGGGUCGAUAGGUGCCUCAAUUCCCCAUUACUUGGUACCAACUCCUCGCCAUCCCCUAUGAACCUGUGGGGCACCCUUGCCUCGUGGGACAGACCUGCCUCGUAGGGAAUCCCUCUCUUGUGCCCUACCCUUACCUCGUGGGAUAGCCCUACCUCGAUGGUACACUUCUGACACCGCAUACUCAAUCUCGUGAUCUAACCUCGUGCAAUCUCUUGCUCGACACAAGGUCCGACGAGCUAGCUUUUCCACCCGCCGACUAUACUUAACGACUGCAACACUGUUGCUAUGCUGUUGCAUCUCCUACCCAAACUGGUAGAACAUGUGUUGCCCGAUAGCCUACGCAACAUUUAAAAUAUUAUUUAAAUAAUGCUAUAUCGUAAUUAUAAGAUAUUAGUAAGCCAACCAAACAUACCCAGCGCCUCGCGCCUCCCUGCGUAUGGUCAAUAUCGAUUGCCAAGUACAUGAAUGGGGUUACUGAUCAUCAGUUGGGUGUGACGGCGGUACGUGACAUAUGCAGCUUAAUACUGGCCUCUUGGAUGGCAGAAUCCGGUACUCUCCCUGGUCCCAAAUAUGGAUCUGCUACUCUAGCCAUCCUACAAAUUCAUCAUCCACCCUGGUACAGUCAUCCUGCUGAUAAUGUAUAGGCACUCAUGCAGGCUCCCCUGGUAUAAGCUACAGACAGUGAAACUGGCGAAGCACACGCUCUGUGGCAUGAUUCUCAACCACAUCAAAGAAGAUCAUAGGGACGAAAGUGCUCCAAAGUAGUCGGCCGACUGAGCAAUAAUUGGGCAGCUGAGCUAGCAACUCGUUGUUGUAUGGCAUCCAAAUGAACGAUCAAAUAAUAGCAUAAAAGAUUGAGUAUGCGCAACAAAAGUGAAUUUAUAAGAAGUAAUUUUAGUUACAUAUUUACUUGUCUGGCCACCAACAUAUCUAACACAUCCUUUUCAAGGGGGAAUUAUAAUGAUCAUAAGUCCCUCGAUAGUUCCCACAACGAGUUGGUAGAGGUGGCUGCAAAAGGUUGACAUAAAACUUUACAGUCAUUUUGACCAUGUAGAAUUCAAUGUAAUGAACAGAGUAUUCAAAAAUGUUAUCACCUAUAAAAGCGGCAGAAAACCACAUAUGUCCACCUGCUAGCCCAUGCUCUCCCGGCAUAUACUCAUGUACAGGUAUGCUAGAAUAGUAGCACCCCAGCUGUACCAGGGUAACUCAUCUAGCUGAUGUAGAUAAUGCAGAAAGCACAUACUCACUAGAUUUCCUGAAGUGUUCGGGAACGAGACACCCUCCAAAAGAAGGAACAGCGCCAACCUCAUGUAUCAGUCAAUAUAGAUAGCCUCUGUCUCGCAUAUAAUAUCGGGGUGCAAUACCUCCAUAUGCUCUCUGAUAGCUGUCACAGAAACGUGACUGCCCCCUCUAAGUGCAACCUCACCCUGUGGUCUGUAACGAGUAUACUGUCCCACCAAAUCCAAAUAUUGGGGACGCGUCAUAGCUCUCAUGUACUGGGGCAAUGCAACGGCCAGUCCAUCUACACGUAGCCCAUACAAAACCUAAACAUCCUCAAGCGUGAUGGUGGCCUCUCCAGUGGGCAGGUGAAAAGUGUGCGUCUCCGAUCGCCACCGCUCUAUCAAUGCCGUGAUGAGAGUCUAAUCGAGCUGCAUCAGCCCAAUCCGAAAAAUCCUAAGGAAGCCCAUAGCCUCUAGGCAAUCGACUACGCGGGGAUGAAAAUGUCUCUCCCUAGAAAAGUUCCACAAAUUUUUCGGUCUCAUGGCGCAGAGAGUCUGAUCCAAUAGAUGUCCCUCCAUACAUAGGAGGACCUAUGGUUGCCCUGUAACACUAAUAUCUAAUCUUCAACUGGUCGAGGUUGCACAUACGGCAAGUGCAUGUCGUCUACUAUAAUAUAAAUAAUAUUAAUUAUGUCCGUGUUAUAAUAAAUUAAAUAAUUCUUUUUAUAUUUGGACAAAGUCAUUAUCUAUGGGUUCUAGGCUCGAUAUUUGAGGCCCAGUAGCACCAAGCUAUCCUUAAUUAUUAUGUGUGUCACUUUUAAUAAGUUUAAAAUUUUAUUAGUUUAAUUAAUUAAAUAAUUAAUUAUUUAAUUAGACUAAGUAAUUAUUUAUGGGUUUGCCGCUCGAUAUUUAAGGCCAGUAGCACCAAAAUAUCCUUAAUUAUUAUAUGUGUCAAUUUCUAUAAGUUUAAAAUUUUUUUAGUUUAGUAAAUUCAAUAAUUAAAUAUUUAAUUAAUGGUCGAUCUGCAGCCACAAACACUUUUCUGCGACCGCAGUUCAAUUUUUGUGACACAGUCAAUUCACAUCAACUGCAUUAAAUUAACAAUUCGUUGACCACACAAUUUCUUGUGCAGUCGCAACAACAUCGAUAGUAAAUUUAGGGUUCCAAACUUUAAGCACAAAUUAGACAUGAUAAUACCAUUUAGAUAUGCUAAAUAUAUCACCCAUCCCCCAAAUAGCAACUAUGAAGCUACCCACACAAAUUUAAGUCAUAUGAUGAAGAAUUUGCAUUAAGUCUAAAAAAGAACUAAACUAAUUGUGUACAAUAUUAAGAAAAUUGAAAAAUUUUGAAAGAUGAAUUGAACAUAGCAGUAACAAAUUGAUGCUAUGGAAGAACAAAGAUGAUGAAAUUCGUGUGAGAUGCGUGAAUAGAUGAGUACAUUGUGCUUGCCUUUGUGGUAACUUUUCAGAACGCAAAGUUUUAACUGUAGAAUAAAGGCCCCUAUUUAUACUUAACACGGUUUGCUAAAGGUUCAAGAGAAGAGUGUGGCUGCACAAUUACAUGAGUGAUCCAUACUCUUUUCACUUAAGAACAUUAUCCUUUUGAAGAUCUAUGGUCCGCACAAUUUUGUGUGCGACUGUAGAUUUUAGUUCAGACACUACAUUUCGUUGUGCUGCUGCACUUUGUACAUUUCUCUUAAAGGAAAACUUCAGAGAGUGUUCACUUUUAGCUUCCAAGUUGUGCGGUCCGUAAAACAAAUGUACAGCCACAUAUCUCUUGUUAUUGUGGCACUUAAAUUGUGCGAUCCACACAAUAACUAUGCGGUCCGCACUUUUUCUUUACUAAGCCAAAUUUUCUUAACACAAUCCCUGGAAAGCACACUUAUUCCUGCAACAUACUUCAAAACCAGUUAGCAUAAAACAAGACCUAUCUAAAGAAGAAAAAAAUAGAAAAAGACAUAUGGGUUGCCUCCCAAGUGCCUGAUUUAACAUCGCGGCACGGAUUACCAUCAUCAUUUGAAAUAAAGAACUGCCACGACAUGGCCAUCAUCAACUUUUCCUAGAUAAUGUUUCACCUAUGACAAUUGAUUCAAAACACUUCAUCAUUUCUAUUUUUUAAAGUCUAAUGCACCAAAGGGUGUUGCACUUACAAACUCAAAUGGGCCAGUCCAUUAGAUUUCAACUUUCCUGGAAACAUUGGUAACCGAGAAUUGAACAACAAAACAAGACCACCUUCUUUAAACUCCUUGUUAUUAAUGUACUUGUCAUGGAAGUACUUCAUCUUCUCCUUGAAUAAGAACGAACCUAUAUAUGCAUGGUACAUGAACUCAUCUAGCUCAUUCAAUUGUGCCACCUUUAUGUUGGCGGCAACAUCCCACUCAGGAUUCAAUUUCUUAAAAGCCCACAUGGCUUUGUGCUCAAGUUCUACCGGAAGAUAAAAAGCUUUUCCAAACACUAACCGGUAUGGAGACGUUCCAAUUAGUGUUUUGUAUGACGUCCUAUAAGCUCAAAAAGCAUCAUCAAAUUUCUUUGACCAAUCUAUCUAAUUGACAUUCGCUGUUUUAGACAAAAUACUCUAGAUUUCCUGCUUAGAGACUUCCACUUGACCACUUAAUUGAGGAUGAUAAGGGGUUGUGACUAUAUGAGCGACACCAUACUUGGAGAGAGGCAUCGAAAGCUUUAUUGCAAAAAUGCACUCCCCCAUCACUUAUGAUAGCUCUUGGAGUACCAAAUCUUGUAAAGAUGUUCUUCUUCAAAAACGCCACCACACUUCUCACUUCGUCGUUAGAAAAAGAAACGCCCUUAACCUAUUUGGACACAUAAUCAAUUGCGACUAAGAUGUAGGUGUUUUCACAAGAACUCACGAAUGAGCCCAUGGUGGCAAGGGGCAUUUCGUUUUUCUUUGAGAUUCUACUGGCCAUUUGUCUUUCUUUCCUUCGGAGUUACUAAUUUUGGGUUUGAAUUGAUUUUAGGUACGAAAACGGCUCUCAACAACUAGCCCAUCGAAAAUGUACAAAAUGCAGGGCUUAUUCCCCGAAUAUCUACCAAUGUCAGUCCAAUAGAUCCAUUCCUCCUUUGAAGCAUUGGCAAUGUGGAUUCUACCUGCACGUUAGUUAAAUAAGAGGAAAGAAUAACCGGUAAAGUAGUAGAACAACCAAGAAAUUCAUACCGAAAAUGUAGAGACAAUGUCUUUAACCCUAAAAUGGGAGGCUCCUCAUUUGAAGGCUUUGUUGGAGGAGUGGUUAUAUUCUCAAUAUAAAAGGACAAUAUUUGGGGCUCAUAUGUAUACGACCCUAUUCUUUGCAAAGAGUUCACACAUUCCUCAUAACCCUCCAUUUCUUCAUCAUCACAAUUGAGCAAGACAACCUCCAAAGUAUCAUCAACAUUCAUUGCGGUACUUCUUUCACCAAUAAUGAGAUGGUCACCAAGUCCACGAAAGAGCACACCUCAUUGCUAUUGGGUUGCCUCAUAGACUUACGCACAUGUAAAACCAUUUUCUCAUCACCAACCCAGAAAGUAAGUUUUCUAGCUUCAACUUCAACCAGAUCCUUCCUCGUAGUAGGAAAGGUCUCCCAAGAAUAAUCAGCAUCUCAUAGUCAAUCUUGCAAUCAAAAAUAACAAAAUUCGACGGGAGAACAAAUUUAACAACAUGAACCAACAUAUUAUCGAUGAUACCUAACAGUCUCUUCGAGGUAUGGUCCGUCAUUGAUAAUCUCAUAGAUGUGAGUCUUGGUUGCCUAAUUCCCAAAGUCUUGAAAACCAAAUAGGGCAUCAAGUUGAUACUUUCCCCAAGAUCACAAAGAGCUUUAGUAACGUUGACACUUCCAAUGGUACAAGGGAUUGUGAAAGUGCCGAGAUCCUCAAAUUUAGGUUCCAUUAAGUGUAGAAUUGCACUCACUUGAUAAGUCAUCUUUAUAGUUUCACAAGUCAUUAACCUUUUCUUUGUCACCAAGUCCUUCAUGAACUUUGCAUAAUCAGGAAUUUUCUCCAAAGCCUCUACCAAUGGCACGUUGAUAGAUAGGCUCUUGAUCAUGUCAACAAUCCUUUUGAAUUGUUUCUCUCUAUUUUUCUUGGCAAGACUUUAAUGAUAUGGAGGAGGAGGCCUAGGAAUUUGUGCCUUUUCCUUUGACACUACCGGUUUCGGUAUGUCAAAAAUGUGUUCCCUAGACGGGUUCACUUCCUCUUGAGUCUCCUCCAUAUCGUUAUCAAUAUCUAUUCUCACCUCACCAUUUGCUUGCACUUUAUUGUUUGGCAUUUUAUUUUCUUGUACCAUUAUCUCAUCAUCCACAAGUUUCUUUUGACUCAAAGUGGUUCAAUCCCUACAUUUUCCACUCCUUGUAGUUAUGGCCAUGACAUGUUCCGUAUUGUUCCCACCCUUUAGGGUUCACCACCAUGUCACUUGGAAGUGCCCCCUUAGGAAGUGUGCUUAAAGAUUGCGAGUUUUCUCCAAUUGAACUUACAAAUUUCAAGUUGAAGUGUUGUGAGAGUCUAGUUGAGCAUCGGAGUCGGCAUUCUUCUCCAUCAUUUUUUAGAACAUGUUCUCAAUUCGUCCCAUCGAAUUGUUAGAGGAACUUGGAUGUUUGGAAGGAUAUGGAGGCGGGUUGUUAUGUAAUUAAUACAUCGGGUGACUUUGAAAGCUCGACCCCCGAUGGCCUUGGUUAUUGUUCCAUCCCCUUGGUCAUUGCCUCCCCAAUAUCCUUGAUUAUUGUCACUCCAAUUGCUUGGUUAUUUUAAACAUUUCAAUUUCCUUAAUUGUUUUUAUUUUUCCAAUUCUCUUGGUAUUUUGAAUUCCAAUUCUCUUGAUUUCCUUAAGGUCAUCAUUAUUGUUGAUUCUAGCCUUUAUAGUUGUUACUUUGUCCUUGGAAGUUGUUCACAUAUUGUACUUCUUAUUCUUGCUCAUUGUAAGAUUCAAUCAAACCUACUAUCAUCUUGAAUAUAAUUUCCCACAUGAUUUUGCACUUGUGGACCCUUUUGCCUUCUCCUAUUUACCAUCAUAGUAACUCUCUCCAUUGCAUUGGCUUGCUUACGACCUUGCACUUGUUGAAGUUGAUCCUUGGCUAAUUGGUUCAUUGUGGUGGUCAACUUGGCAAUUGCUUGCCAAUGAUCAUGCAAUUGUUUAUGCAAGUGAAUCUCAUUUGGAUAACCUUAAGGAACAUUUGCUCUACUUUUCCAUGCUGAUGAAGUAUCUGCCAUUUCAUCUAGAAUCUCACAAGCUUGCAUAUACAAAGUUGUUAUGAAAUUUCCACCAGCAAGUUUGUGGACCACACAUUGAUUGGUAGUAUUGAUCCCCCUAUAGAAAGUUUGUUGAAUCAUUGCCUCCAUCAUGUCAUUUAUUGGACACUAUUUCACCAUAGUUCGGUACCUCUCCCAUAUCUCAUGCAAAGGCUCAUUGGUUCUUGUUUGAGAGCUAGAAUCUCGUCCCUAAGAUUAGCCAUAUGCCCGUGAGAAAAUAACUUGGAAAUACUUUUUUUCGAAAAUUCAUCCCAUGUAUGGAUAGAAUGGUUUGGUAAUAUUUCUAACCAAUCCAAGGCCUUCCCUUAUACUGAGAGAGGAAAUAACCUCAAUCGUAAAGCAUCGUUGGAGACGUUUGUCUUUUUACUCCCCCAACAAGCUUCUACAAACCCGUUGACGUGUUUGUAUGUAUUUAGAUUCGGAGCCCCGGUGAAGAAUCCCUACUGCUCUAACAAUGUGAGCAUAACAUUUAUGACUUGAAUGUUGCCCACCCAAAUGCGACGCGGGAUUAUGGCACUUGCAUACCCUUUAUUAGGCAACACCUGGUGUGGAGUCACUCUUGGUAGAAGUGGGGGUGGAACGGGAACAUUGUCUUGAGGCGGUUGACCUCGUCUAUUUGCUUGAAGUUCAAGAAGAAACUCUUUGACUAGGUCAUCUUCUACAUCUACAUCCCCCAUAAGCACGUUUCCAAGAGGACCAUUGUUUUUGAGAGCCAUUGUUUCACCUACAAUUGUUUCACCAAAAAGAUUAGUAACACGGAAGGAAAAGAAGACAAUUCACACACAAAUCCAAAUAUAUAGCUAAAUCCAUUUUUAUCUCCCCGGCAGUGGAGCCAAAAAUUGAUCUUGUCCAAGUCACACCUCUAUUCAAGGUUACAAAACGGUUGAUGCAAUAGUAAUACUCAACUAAGAGCCGGGGCCGAAUUCCAUAGGGAGCAAUAUGGAUGGGAUAAAGUAGUACAUAUUUGGACUAAGUGCGUGAAGUAUGUAGGUUGCACUUCCACAAAUAUGGUUUGUUUUACUUCUAAAAUUUUGCUAAGGAUUACAAGUCUAAAUAUAUAAAACUAGAGAAUGUCGUUUUUGGUUGUUUAUAAAAUAUAUAAAAAGGCUAAAUGGCUAUGAACUUCACCCCGGUGUUUACUUAAUGGGUUGUAAACAUUAAAGCUUAUUUUGCCGGUCGAGGAGUAUUAUAACUAUCAACACUCAAGUACCCACUUAAUACCUCUUGGUAAGAGAGUGAUUAUGCCCAAUUUGGAUUUGUUAAGUAUAAAUGGGUAUUGAACCAAACAGUUGAUAAAAUGCUCAACCUGGGUUUUACUAUCUCUAGGUUCAACCCUUUAGUUGGGACUAUCAAUCUCUUAAUUCAUCCAAAAUUCUUGUUAGACAAGUUUUCUUAGCCUAAGUCUCUCUUUCUCAAGUAGAGACCAAGUCAAAUAGGCAUGAACUAAUGUUAGUUCUAAAAUUAAAAGUAAGAACCAGGUAAAAUAAUUAACACCCAACCAUAAAUAAGCCAUAAAUCAAACACCCAUUAGGUUUAUAAACUAGGGAUGUGUCACAACCCUAGUUAAAAAUCUAGCAACUCACAAUAGUAUAGAAGAAAAUAAAGAAGAAAGAUGAUAAAACUCAAAUUGAAAGAUUAAAAGAUAAAAAUUCUAUCACCAAAGUAAGCUAAAGUUAACUAAAUCAGUAAGGAAAAUAGCGACAAGAGUUCCAAUGUUAAAAACUUGACCUAAUUUUGUGAAACUAGUCUAUUUAUAUAAAGCUGGAAAAUUCGAACAAAAUUUCCCUUUCGAAGGUUUUGCGGUCGUAUAAUUCAAUGUGCGGUCCGUACUUUUCAUAAUCUACAAUACGCACAAUUCCUGGUGCGACCACAUAGGGACCUUCUGCGAACCACACAAUUCUGAGUGCAGCCACAUGGCUAACUUCUAUAAGAACUGAAAUGAUGACUCUCAGAACUUUAGUUGUGGCAUAGCUUUUGCAGGCGCACAAUAAUUGUGCAUUCCACACUUUACACUUGGGCUCUGAUGGAAUUCCUUCACAUUCUGUAGCUACAGAUGAAAUUUUGUGGCCGUGGAUGGACUUCUGUGGCCGCAGAAGGAAUUCUACGGUCUGCACUUGAGGCUUUUUACCAAAUUUUUGUUCUUGAGUUCACAUUACUCCUUCCUGAGUUGGAUUUUAUCUUUGUGGCUCAAUUUCCAAUACUCCUACAAUUAAGCACAUUUCAUCAAUUUUUGAGAAUAUAAUUAAACACUUUCGGACUAAAACAAAAAUAAAUAUACACUAAUAAGUAGUCAAAAUCACAAUUUAUUAGGAAAAAUGUUAGUUUUAGAAUGACCCUUUCUAGUUUAAACUGUGUGCAGAUGGUGCAAUUCGAAGGUGUGUGCCUCAAGAAAAGAUGGCAAACAUUCUUUCUCAUUACCAUGAUAGAGCAGCUGGAGGACACUCUGGUGGAAACUGCACUGCAGUAAAGGUUAUGGAAGUCGGUUUCUAUUGGCCUACACUGUACAAAGACGCAUGAGCGCAUGUAGCUGCAUGUGAUAGCUGUGAAAGGACAGUAACAUUAGCAAGAGGGAUGACAUGCUACUCAACUCCAAUAUGGUAUGUAAAAUUUUGAUGUUUGGGUCAUUGACUUCAUGGGCCCCUUUCCAUCAUCUCAUUCAUAUGAGUAUAUCCUAGUAGACAUUGAAUACGUAUUUAAAUGGGUCAAAUUAAUUCCUACUAGGACCAAUAAUGCUCAGGUGGUGUGUGAGUUCUUAUGAAAGAACAUUUUUACCUUAUUUGGGACACCUCGAGUGAUUACCAGUGACAAGUAGUGGGGAAGUUGUGAACAAGAAAUUUGUUGCACUGCUAUCCAAGUAUGGGGUCACACAAAAAAUGGGAACCCCAUACCAUGCCCAAACUGGUGGGCGAGUUGAAGUGGACAACCCUGAAGUUAAACAAAUUCUUGAAAAGGCGAUUAAUGACUCUCGUAAGGAUUGGUUUAUAUAGUUGGAUGAAGCUCUAUGGGCAUACAGAAGUGCAUUCAAAACAACCAUAGGGACUUCACCGUGCAAAUUAGUGUGUGGAAAAUUGUGUCAUCUACCUAUUGAGAUAGAAUAUAAAGCUUAUUGGGAAAUUAAGAUGCUUAAUCUUGAUCUUAGUCUUGCAGGUGAACACAGGUUGCACAGACGAAUGAAUUGGAGGAUUUUAUUUGGACAUGUAUGGAAAUGUGCAGAUUUUCAAGGAAAAGACCAAAAGGUGGAAUGAUCGUCUGAUUAAGCCAAAGAAGUUUCAUGAAGGGGACAGAGUCUUACUAUACAAUAGUAGACUUAUGUUGUUCCCCAAAAAAUUCAAAUCAAGAUGGACAUGUCCGUAUGUGGUGAAACAUGUCUCACUGGAUGGCGCCUUUGAAAUACAGGAUGAAGAAGAGAAUGAAAGUUUCAACGUGAACGGGAGCAAGUUGAAGCAGUACCUUGUUGGAGGAUUUUGACUAGAAAUCCUCUAGUGUCAUUAUCAAAUGAGCCGAAGUGACGUAGUCACGCUUACGACUAUAACUUAGAACUACUUCAAACCUUUUUUUCUAUUUUGUUGUAGAAUAGCUAGAUAAUGGUAGUUUAGGAGUUUUUGAUAAUUUUUUGAACAUGUAUGAUUAAAAAUCAAACACAAAAUAAGUACAUAAUAGAGUUGGGGUGCGACCAGUAGGCUAACAAGUGAAACAAAAGAAUGGGACACCGAUAAAAUUAGCCUAUCGUGUCACAUAGGGCUCCGUGUGGGGCACUAAGUUAGGCCAAAUGGGCAAAUACUAUCAGAGAUGAUAACCCCACUACCGUGUCGCAUGGGGUUCCGCACCUAGAGAUGCGGCGGUGCAAAUUAUUUAUAAAAAAAUAAAACCUCUAACUGGAGACUAACACCCCCGACCCGUCCCUUUUUCUCACAACUCUCUUACUCUAAUAUUUCUCUCCUCUAUAUCUCUCUCUCACUCCAGAUCCCUCUUCUUUCCUCCAUUAUUUUUCCUCAAACUCUUCAUCUCUCCCCCCUCCCAUCUUUAUUCAUCAUCAAGGUAAGUAACUUUAUUUCUUCUUUUCUAUUUCUCUUAGCUUUUUUAUUUUUUUAGUUAAUUUUAUUUUAGUUUAAACUAAAUCCUAGGGAGUUGUAGUUGUGCUAAAUUUUUUUAGUUUCCUUGCUUACUAUAGCCGAAAAUGGUUCUUAACUUUUUGGGUUAGUUAUCAUUGUUCUUCUAAUUAUGGGUGAUUUUGUUAUGUUUUAAUAGUGUGGAAUUAAUUUAUGUUGAAUCUUAGUGGGGUGACCAUGUGGGAGAAAAUUAGCUUUUGUUUAAAAUUUGGGUACUUGGUGUUAUUGUAAAGAUGUGGUGAUGUUGUGGUUGUGGUGAGUUGUGUAUUGGAUAUGUUUGUAUGGUGAUUCUAACACACUUUGAAUUGCAAUAAGACAGUGCAAGAUAUACCCAUAAUGUGCUUGUUGAAAUUCCUUAGUGACAUAAAUUUGUGUAGUGUUGCUAAUUUAAGGGAAGUUCUUUGUGGGAUGUAAUGUUUGACGAUAAGUGUGGGGUAAGAUGUCAUGUUCUUUGUGGGCGUAUACCUCCCCCCCUCCCCGCCCUAGUGGACGAGGAAAAGGAGCGCAUUGAUGCCAUUACAGAUGUAGUCCUAAGCUACAAGUAUCAAUUUGGCUUGUACCAACUCAUGCUAGGAUGUGGUACCAGACCUUUGUUCUAGCAGUAACUCCCGACCCGGAAGUGGGCAUUAAUGAUGGUAAUCUAGUCAUGAAAUACUUGGGGAUUUACAACAACAUUAGAUACCUGGGUAUUGAAAGCUUGUUCUGUACCUGUGAGUCGGUAAACCUGAACAUGGUUGAGGAAUUCUAUGCUAACUGGCAACCUAAGACUAGUUUAGAUGCAGUAUAUUGAGGUACGAGACAAGAUGAUUUAAUUUUCUUCCUCGGUAAUAACUCAAAUCAAGGGAUUCACGAAGUAUUCUGAUGCGCCGGAGAAUCUUGACACAUUUCAAUACUAAUUGCUUAGAUUUUAGCUUGUUUUAAAUGCAAUUAUCUCCUUUACUUAUGUAAUUUUAGUGUUUUUGCAGUACAUGAGGUUUAAGAACUCAUAAGCAUGGAAAUGAAAGCAAAAAGUCAUAAAAACACAAGAAAAGAGCAAAAAGGCAUUGCAAAUAAGUACGUGCAAUCGCAAAAACCACAUGCGAGCCGCGAAAUUUACACUAAGAUCACAGAUAAAAACAAAGUUCUGGGAAAAGUUCAACUCAAGAAUGCGGUCCAUUAUGCGAUCGCAUAACCUUUUUGAGAGCCGCAAAUUGGACCGCAAACCAACCACGAAGGCUGCUGAAAGCAAAAAAUGCGAUGCAAAAUGUGGACUAAAAACCAUGAAUAUAGUGAAGGCCUGGAAACUAGGGUUACAAUCUGAGAUGGACAGGUAAAAAAUGCGUACGAUAUAUCUAUUAUGCGAUAGAAAUGCGGUCGCAUAUCAAUCUGUAAAGGCAUUUUUGUUCGAUUUUUGGCCCUCCAAAAAUAGACUUAUUGGGGUUUUGUGGGCUUAUCUUGUCUGACUUUGAAGCUACAAUACAAGGCAUUAAUAUUUCUCAACUCAUUUGUGGGCUUAGCAUGUGUAGCUAACUUUAAAUACUAAGGUUGUGAACACUAAAUGGGUGUAAUUUUAAUGGGGGUUUAACACUGAAUAUAUAUAUAUAUAAUAGUUGGUUGAUAUUUAUUUACUUCUCAUUCUUUAUUUAUUGUUGAUGGUUGCAAACAUUAACAAGUGCCAUUAAUUCUUACUUUGCUAGGAAAAGUGGGUUGGAAUAUGGUAGAAGUAAACAUCAAAGACUCAAGGCUUUAAGCCUUGUUUAAUUGAAUAUCUUAGGAAGAAGUGAGUUUUAUUUGGCAUAUAAUGAUUGUUCUUAAUUUCAACUCUUUUAUAUUAGGAAAAAUCAUAAAGAGAAAAUACUACCCAACUUUUGGAAAAUAUUAGGUAGUCAUUUAGACAUCAUUUGCAUAUCAAAAUGACCUUCCAUUAGAAAUAUAUCUUACUAACAUUGAUAGCAUUACACUUAAUUUAAAUGGUACACAACCUUGGUUACUUUAAUCAAAUUAAUUACACUCUCAACAUUUUAGCUGUUACUUCAAAUAAAACUCAACUCAUACUAUUGUUAUCAUUAACUGGAUAGAAUUAUGACUUUAGUCGAGUAACACACUAUUUGAGUAACCUUUUCUCACCUAUUCCCUAUGGUAUUCAACCCCAACCUUGUUGGGUUAUUAUAUUUGACACCGACCGCUUUACACUAUUGAUUAAAAUGUAGUUUGAGCAUAUCGAAUUUUGGCGCCAUUUCCAGGGAUUACGGUUUUGAAAUUACUAAUUAGUGUGCGCUUUACGUUACGUCUUACUCUAUACCAUCACACUUUUAUUGCUUUGCUUUGUGUUGAUAGGAAAACAUGUCCAAAUAUGAUGAUGACAUAGAGGUAUAAAUGUGAGAAAAUCCUUUUGAGGACAUCGAAGAGUACAUUGAGGAUACGAAUGCUAAUGUACCUCCGACUAUUGGCACUGCAACUUUCAAGGUGGAACAUGGUUUAAUCCUUAUGCCCAAAACGGAGGGGUUUUUAGGAAUUUUACUGAUGCUGAUCCGACACAAUAUCUUAGAAACUUCUUGGGUGUGUGUGUGUGAUGCAUAAGCAAAACAAUGUCUUUGAUGAUGCGCUAAGGUUGAGAUGCUUCAAGUAUUCUCUAGCAGGGGAUGCAAGGAAAUGGCUUCAAAAUCUGCCACCGAACUCCAUUCAUUCUUUGCCCGAACUUGUUCGAGCAUUCUUGUCUAAAUGGUUCCCGCAAAGUAAGCAGUCUCAGCUCCGGGAUAAAAUAUUAUUUUUCAAGGAAGCAGCAGGAGAACAUCUACAUGAGGCAUGGGAACAUUUAAAAUUAUAUUUGGUGAGGUCUCCCAAUCAUAGUUUUCCAGAUUCUAUCUUGGAAAAAUUCAAUAUGGGCUUGGAUCUUAUGAACCAAUCUAUAGCCAAGAAUGCAGCUGCUGGAUCUUUCAUGGAGAAAUCAUUCGCAAGGGUGACAUAAAUACUUGAAAAAAUGGCAAAGCAUAAUCAAGAAUGUCAUUCCAAGGACACCACAUGUGGAAUUACUUAUGUGUCUCCUUUCUUGAGCAACAUGAUCAAGGAAAAUCAAGAGAGAGAUCAGGUGAUUGCUGGACUUGCUAAAAAUAUCAAUAUGCUGAUAAAGAUGUUCAUCGAAAGCCAAACUAAGAAAGUAAAUGUAGUUGCGGAUGUGCAACCCAUAUCAUAUGAGGAUUUUGAGGAAGCGAAUUAUGUCAACAACUCUCAAGGAAGCUAUCAAAGGCAACAAUACCAAGGUCAAGGACAACAAAACCAAUGAAGUCAAAACCCACAAAGGCAAGGCCACCAACAAUGGUGAGAUAUUCAAGGUUGCUCAAGCCAAGAGAUUUGGAACAACAACAACAACUACUACUCAAAUCGGAGUUCAAACCCUUAUGUUCCCCCUAAGGGUCAAUAUUCAAAUCAGGGUUCCUCAAGUGAGUCUAAGUUGGAAAGUAUGCUUGAACAGGUAUUGUAAAAUUAAGAAAAAUCUAACAUCUCUAUGAGUUACAUGACCGAGCUUGGAAACUCUCAUACCGAAUCCAUUCAAAAAUUAGAGAUGCAAAUGAGAGGCCUCUCUACGGAACAAAACUCAAAGAAAAAGGGAACACUCCCUAGUGACACAAUUGUGAACCCAAAGGGUGGUUAGAGUAGCCCAACUUCUCAUGUCAUGGCAUUACUACUAGGAAUGGGAAGGUACUACAAGGAGAGGGGCAAACAAGUGAUUGAGGUAGAAGAGUUCGAGAAAGGGGUUGAGGAUGAAGAGCCAAUUAUUGUCGAAGUUGAGAAGAUUCCGGAAGAUGUGCAAGUGCAAAAAGAGAACCGGGAACAGGUAAAGGAAAAGGUAAAAGAGACACCAAAACCUCUUCCACCUAUUCCUACACAUCCUCCUCUAUUACCUCAAAGGCUUUAAAGAAGAGUCCAUGAUCGCAAACUCGAGAAGUUGUAUGACAUUCUCAAGAAAUUAUUGGUGAAUAUCCCAUUUGUGGAAGCAUUUCAAGAGAUGUUGGGCUUUGCUAAGUAUUUGAAAGAUUUGAUCACUAAGAAUAAAACCACCAAAAAUGAAGUGGUGAAUGUGACUCACUAGUUUAGUUCCAUCAUUCCAACAUCACCCGUUCAAAAGAAAGAAGACCCAUGAGACUUUACCAUUCCUUGUACCAUCGGGGCACAUGAUUUUGCAAGAGCCCUUUAUGAUAAUGGAGCUAGCAUCAACUUGAUGCCUCUUGUCAUUUACAAGAAAGCGGGAUUGGGUAUGCCAAGGCCCACAAGUAUGAUAUUGCAAAUGGUCGAUCGUUCCAUCAAACGCCCGGUGGGAAUUGUUCAUGAUGUACUCGUGAAGGUGGGAAAAUUUCAUUUACCCGCUGACUUCCUAAUCUUGAAUAUGCGGUUGAAAAAGAGAUCCCUAUCGUCUUGGGGAGACCAUUCCUUGUCAUGGGAAGAGCACUCAUGGAUACGGAACAAAAUGAGAUUAAAUUUCGUGUGAAUGAUGAAGAGGUUACAUUGUAAGUAAGUAAGGGUAUCAAACUACGCAUGAGUAUGAAGGCAUCUCAGUGAUUGAUGUUGUUGAUGAAGUAGGGUAUGCGUUUGAAAUGAAAAUGGAAGAACAAUGCCUCGGCGAAGCAUUGGCAGCUAUUUUGGUGAACAUUAAUUUUGAGCAUAUGGAGGGAUAUAUGGAAUCGGUAAAUGCUGGAGGGACAUGGUUCUUACACUUAUGCUCCGAUAAAGCUCUCUCUCAACUUGGGGAAUAGAGCCACACCUCCCGAAAAUCCAACUUUAUUGAGCCACCACAACUAUAGCAAAAACCACUUCCAGCGCACUUGACGUAUAAAUUCCUUGGCUCAAAUGAUACUUUACUAGCAGUCGUCUCUUCUUUGUUGAAUGAUGUGCAGGUAGAAUGAUUGUUGGAAGUCUUGAAGGAGCAUAGGCAAGCCAUUGGAUGGACAAUUGAGGACAUCCAUAGGAUUCUCGCAGGAAUUUGCGAGCAUAAAAUCCAAUUGGAAAACAUCAAUGAUAGUUGAAUCCGUCAAUGCAAGAGGUUGUAACGAAAGAAAUCAUCAAAUGGUUGGAUGCCAGGGUAGUCUACCCCAUUGCUGAUAGUUCUUGGGUGAGCCUAGUGCAAUGUGUGCUUAAACGGGGGUAUCUUCCUUUCGAGCUCAUGUGUGAUGCCAGUGGUGUAGCUAUUGGGACAAUGCUUGGCCAAAGUCACAACAAGGUUCUCCACCCGGUCUACUAUGCAAGAAAAACACCCAAUGGGGCACAAAUGAAUUACACAGUAAAAGAGAAAGAACUUCUUGCCAUUUUCUAUGCCUUUGAGAAUUUCCAGUCUUAUUUGUUGGGAUCCAAGGUGAUAGUGUAUACAGAUCAUGCAUCUCUUUGCUAUCUCAUGGAAAAUAAGGAUGCAAAGCCUUGGUUGAUUCGAUGGGUCUUGUUGUUGCAUGAGUUUGACAUUGACAUUAAGGAUCGUAAGGGUACUCAAAAUCAAGUGGCAGAUCAUUUGUCAACACUUGGAGAGGCAGGGAGACCAAAUGGAGAUCUUGAAAUCAAUGAUGGAUUCCCGGAUGAACACAUAUUGGCACUAUCUAGCACUUUUGCUCCUUGUUAUACCAAUAUUGCUAACUAUUUAGUUAGUGACCUUAUCUUGGAAGGAUUGGAAUCCUACCAAAAGAAGAAGUUUUUGUGAGAUUGCCGGCAAUAAAAUUGGGAGGAACCAUUCUUGUUCCGUGUUUGUGCUGACAAUAUUAUUAGAAGAUGUGUUCUGGAAGAAGAGGUUAUGCCAAUUCUAAAGGCAUACCAUGACUCACCAGUUGGGGGUCAUCAUGGAGGAAAUCGAACGGCAGCUAAGGUUCCUGAAUGUGGUUACUAUUGGCCUUCAAUCUAUCAAGAUUCCAAUCAAAUUUUCAAGUCUUGUGAUCAAUGUCAAAGACAAGUUUCAAUCUCCAAGAGGCAUGAAGUGCCAAUGCACUUUGUGAUGGAGAUAGAGACCUUCGACGUUUGGAGAAUUGAUUUUAUGGGUCCCUUUGUAAGCUCUUUCCGGAUGAAAUAUAUUUUUUGAAGCGAUUGCCUUACCAAACAACAAGGCAAGGAGUGUGACCACAUUUUUUAAGAAGAACAUUUUCACUCGGUUUGGAACUCCUAGAGCCAUUCUUAGUGAUGGUGGGCCUCAUUUCUAUAACAAGGCUUUCACGGGGAUACUUGAGAAGUAUGGAAUCAAGCACAAGGUAGCCACACCUUAUCAUCCACAAUCAAGUGGUCAAGUAGAGGUUUCCAACCGGGAGAUCAAGAGUAUUCUAGAAAAGACUAUUAAUGCAAACAAGAAUGACUGGUCAAGGAAGCUAGAUGACAUAUUGUGGGCAUACCUCACGGCAUAUAAGACUCCUAUUGGUACUUCUGCUAAUCGGUUAGUCUUCGGCAAAGCUUGUCAUUUAUCUGUGCAAUUGGAGCACAAGGCCAUGUGGUCGUUAAAAAGGUUGAACUUGGACUGGGCUGAAGCAGCAAAUUUGAGGUUAACACAACUCAACGAAAUGGAGGAAUUCCGUUUCCAUGCUUAUGAAAGUGCAGUUGUGUACAAAGAAAGAAUGAAGUUCAUCUAUAACAAGAAGAUUUUGAAAAAAGAGUUCCAUGUCAGGUGACAUGGUAUUGCUCUUUAACUCAAGGCUCAAAUUGUUUUUGGGUGGGCUCAAAUCAAAAUGGUCUGGUCCAUUCAAAGUGGUCAAUGUCUCUCGUUUUUGAGUUGUGGAACUAGCAUCGGAAGAUGGCCUCCAGACAUUCAAAGUAAAUGGCCAACGUAUCAAGAAAUACUUGGGCACAGAUGGAGAAAAAUAGUUGGUGGAGCCGUUGACUCUCAAAUAUGGUCUGUGUCCGACCAUUGAGUGAAUCCAAAGCAACACCAACUUCGUCGUGCCGCAACGUUAAAUCAAGCAUUUCAUGGGAGGCAACCCAUGCGUGGUAACACUCUUUACUUUUUUAAUAGAUAGAUUUACUAGAGCAAUUUAAAGUGUGUUUAGAGUGCAGGGGAUUCAAAAUAUCAUAACACUUGGUAGGAAUCCAUGAGAAAGGGAAGAAAAACCAGUGUGUGAAGUUUGCUGCAAAAAUGCGAUCGUCUUUUCACUGUACGGACCGCAUUUUGGUCGCAAACCAAACAGUAAGUUUGGGUAAGAUUGUUAAUCAAAACCCGACGGGGUGGUGCACUCUGUAUAUUGCAUUUCACUUAUGUGACCACAUUGUGCACCGUAUUUGUUACCCUUUAGCAAGCCAAGUGAACCCACCGCAUAACACUUAUGUGGUCACAUAAUGUGUUAUGCGGUGCCCUUCCAAUCGCAAAGUUGAUAGGUAAUUGGUCGCAUUCUCUCAUCUCUCUCACAUUCAAUAUAAUAAUAAUAAUAAUAAUAAUAAUAAUAAUAAUAAUAAUAAUAAUAAUAAUAAUACAUAUAAAGAAAACAAAAGAAACAAAACGAAAAGAGAAGAAAACAAAGACUGAAAAAGGAGCGGGCAAACACGGCUCGUGAUCAAAUCCUUCAAACGACAAAAAUCCAUUCACAAUCUCCAUAGUGUUUACACUCAGCCUCACUGGUAUGUUCCCUUUCCCUAAUUUUCCAGUUCAAGGUUCAUGUUUGUCUCUACUUUGUUUUUUUCUAUUUUUGUUCUUUAUAUUGUGAUUGUGUGGUUGCUUUUCAUAGUUGUUUUUUCAUAGCAUAGUUAUUUCGGGGUAAUACAUCUAGGGUAAUGGGUAGAAAAAAAUAGGACCACCAUUGUUGAAGUGAUGAAGUUAAUCAUGAGGACGAAAGCAUUGGCGGCCCGCAAAGUCAAAAUGUGGUACACAUUUUGGUCGCAUAAUUGAACCCUAGUCUUAUGAUGAUGGUGGUGAAAUGUGGUGACUUUUGCGAUCGCAUAAUUGAUAUGCAUAACCCAAAGUCACCGCAAACUGAAAAAGACCACCCAGUUGAGCCCUUGCUAUUUUGCAAUUGCAUUUCACACUUUGCGGUGGUGUUUGCGAUCACAUUUUGUUUUCUUACUUUGUGAGCAAAUCAGUUCUGCGAUGGUUAUGCGGUACGCAAAGUGUUUAUGCGAUCGCAUAACCCAUUGCAGACUGAGAUCCAGUUGUACACCAUCAAGAUUGCGAUCUGUUUUCGGUACGCAUAGUGGUUAUGCGACGGCAAACCACAUCGCAUAUUUGAAUUCUUCUUUGAAAUAUUUUGUUUCUUUUCACUGUUAUUUAUAAGGUCGCUCGCAUUUCACCUUUUUAUAGAUAUGGAUCCCAAGAAGCAUACAACCUCUACCCAAUAAGGGCAUCCUCCAGUCGUGACACAUUACAGGUGAAAUUAUCACAGACAUACUCUAAUAUGCCCUGCCCUUCCCAUUUUGCUGAAGAGGAGCUCAUGCGCAGUUAAUUUACAGGCUAAGGCAAAGAGGAAACACAGAGAUGACUUUUGCCUCCAAUUUGGGGUUGAGGGAUCCUGGGAACUGUAUAGAGCAAAGCUCAUCAAACGAAAAAUCCUAGGUGAGAAGCAAUUGAGCUUGAAUGGGCUACAAAAACAGUACCCUUACAUGUUGGAGACAUAAAACUGAGAAAAUGGGAAUGCUUCACUGAGCCACCUACAGAAUAUAAUGAGCCCCUUGUUCGUGAAUUUUAUGCAUCAUAUAUAGGCUCCAGGGCUGCACAUCACAAAUGCAAUAGAAUAUUUUGUAACAUAGUACUUGUUCGGGGGAAGAGUGUGUUUUGCAACAGUGAGGCCAUUAAUGAGCUAUACUUCCCUGGCUGCAGAGUAGGCACUGCCGAGUACGAUGCCAAAUAUGCAAAUAGGGUGAAUGGGCGUGGUUUGAUUGCUCCAAGGGAACACCAGCUUGGAUCAACCAUGGGUAGAAUAUAUACAAGGAGGAUCUCACAAGAGAGGUUCGAUUCUAGCUCAGAUUUGUUACUUCUCGAUUAAUACUGUCUGAGAAAGAAAUGGGCAUAGGCAUUGAUGAGGCUCCCCUUAUUGAAUAUAUCAUGGUGAGCAUCAAGAUCCAUGUUGGUUCUCUGAUAAUUCAAGAGAUAGGGAUCCCAGAAAAGCAGCAUGCCACUUCGCUUCCUUUCCCUUGAUUGAUCACAUCUCUCUAUAAAGUUGUGAAGGUCCCUCUCAUGCAACAAUCUAACAGGACUGGGAAGGAUACGAGGGACAUUAAUAUCACUCGUAUUAGUGAUGUUGUCGCCCCACCAGAAUUUCAUAUUAAGGAUCCCAUUGAUAUAGAGCCUUUCGAUUCUAAGACUUUUAUGACUCCUCGGGUUACUAUGGCAUCCUUUUCUGCCUCAAAGCCUUCCCCUUAGUCCAUUACUGUUAAGCCUUCUAUGGCAUUACCUACCAUCUCGAGGCUUAGUCUUAUUGCUCAGCAUGGCAGUGCCAAAGUUUACUAGCUUUAAAAGACCCUUCCAACCUAUUCAAACAAGCCCUGACACCGAUACAAUCUUCACUGAUAGCUCCCCAACAACAACAAACAGUGUAUGGGGAUCACUUGCAGCAGCUUGAGUUACCGGUUGAGAAGGUAGAGCACGACAAAGUCAGUGGUUUCCUCAGCUUAGGGAGGAGGUUUAUUCAAUGAAGACCGGACUCCACAAGAUGCAGACUUUGGAGUUCGAUCUAUCAAGCCUCCUGCCCAAGGAUGGUGAGCAGGGUGCACAGUAGCACUGGAUAUGAGCCUUGAUUUCUCCACACUUAUGACUGAUAUUGCCCCUCCGACUGCCGGCAUUCCGAGCUUACAACUCCUCCUAACCGUGUUGUGAUCCUUUCUGAGGAGGAUUCUGAACGUUCUACUGAGUCCGAGGAUGAGUAGGCAGAUGCGGGUGAAGAUGAAGAAAGUUCAUGGUUCGAGGAGGAUGAUGUCCCUUGGGAGAAAGGCAAGCAGAUUACUAUUCCUAGAGUUCAGGAAGUAGAUCAAGCAGAUCUUGAGACAGCAAUCAAACGUUUUCUAGAAGAUUUGGCCGCCCUCCACAUCCAUCAGCCACUCAGCCAUCAGUAGGCCCAGGUAGCAGCUCACAGGUCCCAGCUCUAGUUCUAGACCAGCCAGAGAUCCCUCCUCCAUCAGUGGAGAUCACUCAUCAGGUCGAGCUCUCAGCAGUCCUAGCUUCAGCACUAGAGGGUGACCCCACCAUCACUCAACCAACUACCGACUCUGAUAGCGCUUAUUCUCUCUAUUCUUAUGUAUUGGGGACAAGCUCUUAGUUGGGGGUGGGUGGUAGCAUUGUAUAUACUUUUGUGACAUCUGAAAUUGUCGUACAUAUUUAUAUUUUUGUGUUAUAAAAAAACUUAUGUACUCAUGUAUAUUUUGUGUUAUAUAUCUUAGUAUGAUUUCCGUACAUAAGUUGUGUUGUGUAGUUCAUGAUCGUGUAUAUAUUAGUGUUUUGUGAUUUCAGUGCAUAAGCUAUGUGUGCCUGUAUAAAAGAUAAAAAAAGUAGAUAGUACUUCGUAAUGUAUUCCCCUUGGUUUUUCUUCUCCAGGUUCUUUUCCUAGGGUGUAAUAGUAGAACUAGGACAGUAGAAUGAAUCAUAUUGACCAUUUUGGUGUAAUUUCCUAGUCUCAAGCAUGUCUUUCCGUAUAUAGCAUAUACCCUUCCAUAUAUAUUAAAAAGGAGAUCAACUGUGUGAAUUUGAGGCUCGCUCUGUGAAACUAUGUCUACCUAGAGUUAUACUUGUAUAUAUGAUGAAAGCUUUGAGUUUCCAAGUGUUGACUCGUGGGCUUCAAACUAUGUGAGCCAAAAAGUUGUGUGCCAUGUGUGUGAGUUCUUUGUGUAAAUAAUUCUUUUGUUUAUUUUUACCAUCUAGAACUUGCCCGGUUGGUCUUUCAAAGCUACUGGAAGUAUGUUUGGUUGGAGAGAUGAUCUUAGGCAUUCUUUAUUUUUAGUUGCAAAACCUCUUUAGCCUUUCAAGCCUACAUGUGCAUAAAUAAUAUCACUAGUACCCUAUUAGAGCCUUUAAACCUUUUCUUUGGCCAACUCAUUACAAACCUUUCCCCUUUUGUAAAAUAAUGCCUCUUUUGAACCCGUCCCUCCUUGAACAUUGAGAAUAAGGCUAAAAGCCAAAAAUAGGGGGUUGGUGUCAAAGUGGAAAUUGGUAAGAUUGUACAUUGAGUAGAGAAUCAUAUACCUCAAAGUGUGUGCAUGAAAUUAUUCAAACUCCAAAAUAUAUACUUGUAUAUUAAAAAAAGAAAAAAAAGAGAGAGAAACAAUCGUAUGUAUAUAAAUUAUGGAACCUUGAAGAAAAUCAUAGAGGUAUUUAAGGUGGUUCUAUAUUGGAAACUAGGUGCCAAUGAGGCUAUGUGGGUUGAAGAGAAACGAAGUGAAAAAGGAAUGGCAAAUAUGAUUAGUGUUCAAGGAGGAUGAAGUCACAUGUAUCCAAAUGCUUAUCCUUCCCUUCCUUAACCCUACAUUACAAGCUCAAAAGUUCUCUUUGGGACCUCCAACCGAAUAUUCUUGGAUAAGCGAUGAAUUAAAAUAAGGGCAACCUAUGGUAUGGUAUAUUGUAACACAUGAAAUUUUUUACCGUGAGUGAGUGUCCUUGUCAAUUCGUCCUUUUUUGUUGUAAUUGUACAUAUUGUGAUUUUUGGACAUUAUUUCUAGUGAGGGCACAUGAACUGUAAGGUAGAACACAAGUUGGGUUGUUGAGUCAAAUGCAAGUGCAUUCAGCUGAGGGUAGUAUUUUGUCACAUUGUUUGAGGCUUAAGGUUCUCAAGUUGAUUAGUUUUCCUUGUAUAUAUUAUUGUUCGAGAGGGGUAAUACAAUCGAAGAUGCAUGCUUGAAGUACUAGCAACAAACACACCCCAUGGUCAUUCUUGGUUCAUGUUUUGUAGAUAUAGUCUAGAAUAUGAUAGUGUUGUUUUAGUUGCAUGAGGACAAGCAAGAGUUUAAGUUGGGGGUGUGAUAUGCUCGAGAAUUUCCGCACAUUUCAAUACUAAUUGCUUAGAUUUUAGCUUGUUUUAAAUGCAAUUAUGUCCUUUACUUGUGUAAUUUUAGUGUUUUUGCAGUACAUGAGGUGUAAGAACCCAAAAGUAUGGAAAUGAAAGCAAAAAAUCCACAAAAAGACAAGAAAAUAGCAAAAAGGCAUCGUAUAUGAGGAUGUGGGAUUGCAAAAUCCACACGUGAGCCACAAAAUUUACACUGUUACCGCAUAUCAAAAUAGAGUUCUAGGAAAAGUUCAACGUCAAGAAUGCGGUCCAUUAUGAGAUCGCAUAACCUUUUUGCUAGCCGCAAAUUUGACCGCAAACCAACAAUGAAGGCUGAUAAAGGCAAAAAAUGAAAUGCAAAAUGCGGUUGCAUUUGUACAAUGCGGACCAUAAACCAUGAAUACGGUGAAGGCCUGGAAACUAUGGUUACAAUCUGCGAUGGACAUGUCAAAAAUGCGGAUAGAAUGUCUGCUACGCGACAUAAAUGCGGUCCCAUAUUCAACCUAAAAGGGCAUUUUUGUUCGAUUUUUAUCCCUCUAUAAAUAGAUUUAUUAGGGUUUUGUGGGCUCAUCUUGUCUGACUUUGAAGCUACAGUACGAGCCAUUAAUAUUCUUCUUUUUUAGAAGCUUUCUGGUCAAGAAUCAUUCACUCUAUAAGCUUUAUGGCAUUAAAUAUUCUCUUCCUUUUGUAUUUUAGCAUGUGUAGCUAACUUUAAAUACUAAGGUUGCGAACCCUUAAUGUGUGUAAUGUUAAUGGGUGUUUUACAUUGAAUAUAUAUAUAAUGGUUGGUUGAUAUUUAUUUACUUCUCAUUCUUCAUUUAUUGUUGGUGUUUGUAAACAUCACAAGUGCCAUUGGUUGGAAUAUAGUAGAAGUAAAUAUAAAAGACUCAAGGCUUUAAACCUUGUUUAAUAGAAUCACUUAGUAAUAAGCGUAUUUUAUUUGGUAUAUAUUGAUUGUUCUUAAUUUCAACUCUUUUAUAUUUGGAAAAAUCAUAAAAACGAAAUACUGGCCAACUAUUGAAAAAUAUUGGGUAGUCAUUUAGACAUAAUUUUCAUAUCAAAAUGACCUUCUAUUAGAAAUAUAUCCUAUUAACACCGAGCAUUACACUUCAUUAAAAGGGGCAAAACCUUGGUUACUUUAGUCAAAUUGAUUAUACUCUCAACAUUUUAACUGUUACUUCAAACCUCUACUCAUACUCUUGUUACCAUUAAUUUAUACUGUUAUUACUGUAACUAGAUAGAACUAUGAAUUUAGUCGAGCAACACACUAAUUGGGUAACCUUUUUACACCUAUUCCAUGUGGGAUCCGACCCUAACCUUGUUGGAUUAUUGUAUUUGACACUGACCACCUUACACUAUUUAUUAAAGUGUAAUUUGAAGGUAUCACAUUCACAUAAGUUGUUCAUGAUGUUGUUGCAUCAGCCCUUCUAUCCUGAUAUUAUAUGCCAGUUGUGUGGGCGUAAGGUCUCUUGAAAUUUAGACGUGAGAUGCUAAUGAGUUCCACAAGGACACGAAGAAGUUCCAUUUCAUACAUCCCACCAAAGUCACUCUCCGCUUAAUUAAUGCAAAGAUUAUGCCUACCCAGAACGACACUGAUGUCUCCCAAUUAUAGGUGUGUCUCAUUUAUGCUAUCCUAACUCCAAUGAAGUUGGUCUAGGUAAGAUUAUGCUUUAGCACAUGCCUUGAGUAUGACCACUUGGGACCCUCUGAAUGCUUUUCUGAGUGUGAUUCUGCAGCUUCUGAGGAUCUACCAUGUGGAUGAGGAGUUCCAUUAUGAUCGGACGAUUCUAGUUUUGUUUCAUCUUAAGCCUUUUGAUGUCAUAGCCAUGAUAGACCCCUCAUUACACUGCUAUUGUUGUUCCUGUAGAUUAGACAUUUGCUUGUGUUAGGGAGACACUAUAGGUGUUAUUUGCUGAUAUGUGCCAUCGCGUUACUCAAAGGGAGAUUGACUUGACAGAGCUGCAAGAGGACCACCCCCUCUCCGUGGUCACGCAGUAGUGGUUGCGCUUUGCAGAUAGAGUACAAAUGCCGCAGGAUGACGACGCAAACUAUAUUCCCUCUGAUGAUGAAGAGUACAUGUGAACCUUUGAUGGUGUUGAUGAAGCGUAGUCCACAGGCCUUGGGGACUUAUCUUUUCACUCUUGUUUUACGAUUUUCCAUUGGGGACAAUGUAAUUUCUUAGGUGUGGGGUGGGGUGCUCAUAUUUAAUUUUAUUUUAUUUGUUUUCUAUUUGCAUGUUAGUUUUGUUUGAUUUAUUUCUUUCUUUCUCAGACAAUAUGGUCUAUAAUCAUAACCCUGAAUUUCAUCGGCCUGUAAUAGUUAGUAAUUAAUUGUUUGGUUUCAACUCUUCCCGGCAAUGGAUUUCGUCGUCUGGCUUCUUAAGGGAUUUGAAGUUGAACGAGAAAAAUACAAAAACAAAGUUAAAAAUUUUAAAAUCCAAAAACAUGUCUUUUAUUUUAUUUUAUUUUCUUAGGGUAGUGUAAUAAUUCUCCUUUAGUUCUGCUUUGUGUCGUGGUUUUUUUUCAAGGGUUUUAGUUGAAUCAAGUGUAGUUAACUUUUUAUUUUUAUUUAUAGGAAUAAAGAAUCUCGAUUCAUAGUGCUAAUUUGAAGCAAUUUUCUUUGAAUGCAUAUGCUUUGAAAGUGGUAAGUGCCUUAGUUGUGACGCUUAGGCCCAGUUUUUUACUAUUAGAUAAGUGCCUUAAAUUGUGUGAUUGUGACCUUGCUUAACUUCUUUGACUAGAGAGUUGUGAAGGAUCUGAUCCUGAGUGAGUUAUGUGCCAAUAUAUGCGUGAGGCAUUCAUUGAUAUUCUAUGUAUGUAAGUUAAUGACUAGAACUUGCCCUGUGUGUUUGCAAAGUGAAAUAGCAGUCUUGUUCAGUCCAGGAAGUGAUAUAGGUAUUUUUUGUUGAGUCAAAUAUAUGCUUUUGCUCACCUAAUUAAUGCUUAUUUUGUUAGCCCAUUUGAGCUUGUAAUCUAUUUCUUUAGCAACCACUACAAGUCUGACCCCUUUGUUAAUUGACUUUCUGUUUGAACCUUUUAUCUCUCAUGAGCACUUAAAUUUGUUAAGAGCAUGUAAAUCCUAAGUGGAGGUAUGGUUGGAUUUUGAGUGAAACUAUAGAACAUGAUAAGGAUUCAUUGUUUGAAAAAAAUUAUCAGAUCCACUUGUAGGGAACUGAAAAAAAA
rnacentral:lncRNA from 1 species